GACGAACGCUAGCGGCAGGCUUAACACAUGCAAGUCGAACGGUAAGGCCCCUUCGGGGGUACACGAGUGGCGCACGGGUGCGUAACACGUAUGCAACCUACCCUUCAGCGGGGGAUAGUCGCGGGAAACUGCGAAUAAUACCCCAUACGAUCAUUGAUUGGCAUCGAUUGAUGAUGAAAGUUCCGGCGCUGAAGGAUGGGCAUGCGUCCCAUUAGCUAGUUGGUGAGGUAACGGCUCACCAAGGCGACGAUGGGUAGCUGGUCUGAGAGGAUGAUCAGCCACACGGGCACUGAGACACGGGCCCGACUCCUACGGGAGGCAGCAGUGAGGAAUCUUGGUCAAUGGGCGCAAGCCUGAACCAGCCAUGCCGCGUGGAGGAAGACGGCCCUCUGGGUUGUAAACUUCUUUAGCUAGGGACUAAGGCAGUGCUAUAUGCACUGUUGCAGGUACCUAGAGAAUAAGCGCCGGCUAACUACGUGCCAGCAGCCGCGGUAAUACGUAGGGCGCAAGCGUUGUCCGGAUUUAUUGGGUUUAAAGGGUGCGUAGGCGGAUAUAUAAGUUCGUGGUGAAAUCGUCCGGCUUAACCGGAUACCCGCCAUGGAUACUGUGUAUCUUGAGUGUGGAUGAGGAAGUUAGAAUGCGUGGUGUAGCGGUGAAAUGCAUAGAUAUCACGCAGAAUACCGAUUGCGAAGGCAGACUUCUGGUCCAUAACUGACGCUGAGGCACGAAAGCGUGGGUAGCGAACAGGAUUAGAUACCCUGGUAGUCCACGCUGUAAACGAUGAUCACUAGGUGUUCGGCCGUAUGGUUGAGUGCCCAAGCGAAAGCGAUAAGUGACCCACCUGGGGAGUACGUCGGCAACGAUGAAACUCAAAGGAAUUGACGGGGGCCCGCACAAGCGGUGGAGCAUGUGG
rnacentral:rRNA from 1 species